rnacentral:sRNA from 1 species
GACUUUUCCUUGUCACGAUUAGUGGCGGG